UAAAGAGGGGGCGAGCGUUAAUCGGAAUUACUGGGCGUAAAGCGCACGUAGGUGGCGACGUAAGUCGGGUGUGAAAGCCCCGGGCUCAACCUGGGAAUUGCAUUCGAGACUGCGUUGCUGGAGUACGGAAGAGGAGGGCGGAAUUCCCGGUGUAGCGGUGAAAUGCGUAGAUAUCGGGAGGAACAUCAGUGGCGAAGGCGGCCCUCUGGUCCAGUACUGACACUCAAGUGCGAAAGCGUGGGGAGCAAACAGG
rnacentral:rRNA from 1 species